UGGAUCCAGACUUUGAUUAUGGCUCAGGAUGAACGCUAGCUACAGGCUUAACACAUGCAAGUCGAGGGGAAACGACAUCGAAAGCUUGCUUUUGAUGGGCGUCGACCGGCGCACGGGUGAGUAACGCGUAUCCAACCUGCCCACCACUUGGGGAUAACCUUGCGAAAGUAAGACUAAUACCCAAUGAUAUCUCUAGAAGACAUCUGAAAGAGAUUAAAGAUUUAUCGGUGAUGGAUGGGGAUGCGUCUGAUUAGCUUGUUGGCGGGGUAACGGCCCACCAAGGCAACGAUCAGUAGGGGUUCUGAGAGGAAGGUCCCCCACAUUGGAACUGAGACACGGUCCAAACUCCUACGGGAGGCAGCAGUGAGGAAUAUUGGUCAAUGGACGAGAGUCUGAACCAGCCAAGUAGCGUGCAGGAUGACGGCCCUAUGGGUUGUAAACUGCUUUUAUAAGGGAAUAAAGUGAGUCUCGUGAGACUUUUUGCAUAUACCUUAUGAAUAAGGACCGGCUAAUUCCGUGCCAGCAGCCGCGGUAAUACGGAAGGUCCGGGCGUUAUCCGGAUUUGUUGGGUUUAAAGGGAGCGUAGGCCGGAGAUUAAGCGUGUUGUGAAAUGUAGACGCUCAACGUCUGCACUGCAGCGCGAACUGGUUUCCUUGAGUACGCACAAAGUGGGCGGAAUUCGUGGUGUAGCGGUGAAAUGCUUAGAUAUCACGAGGAACUCCGAUUGCGAAGGCAGCUCACUGGAGCGCAACUGACGCUGAAGCUCGAAAGUGCGGGUAUCGAACAGGAUUAGAUACCCUGGUAGUCCGCACGGUAAACGAUGGAUGCCCGCUGUUGGUCUGAAUAGGUCAGCGGCCAAGCGAAAGCAUUAAGCAUCCCACCUGGGGAGUACGCCGGCAACGGUGCAACUCAAAGGAAUUGACGGA
rnacentral:rRNA from 1 species